rnacentral:rRNA from 1 species
UUUUUUAUGGAGAGUUUGAUCCUGGCUCAGGACGAACGCUGGCGGCGUGCUUAACACAUGCAAGUCGAACGGUAAGGCCCUUUCGGGGGUACACGAGUGGCGAACGGGUGAGUAACACGUGGGUGACCUGCCCUGUACUUCGGGAUAAGCCUGGGAAACUGGGUCUAAUACCGGAUAUGACCUUCUCCUGCAUGGGGGUUGGUGGAAAGUUUUUGCGGUACAGGAUGGGCCCGCGGCCUAUCAGCUUGUUGGUGGGGUAAUGGCCUACCAAGGCGACGACGGGUAGCCGGCCUGAGAGGGCG